rnacentral:lncRNA from 1 species
CUUAAGGCUGGCUUUAGGUGGCCCCUUCACCCCUUCUUUAUUGCUCUAUUAGUCGAGCACUCCAUGUGCCCGGGGCAAUUAGUGCCCAACGCCUGGAGGAUGCUUGUUUACUUUUUUAUAGCAUGUAGAUACUUAGGUAUCGAGCCCAACGUCAGCCUCAGCAAAUUAGUAUUCGAGCUUAAGAAGCAUCCUCGAUACACUUGUUUUGGCUAUCUCUCGACGAUUGGGGACUUUAAAGUCCCGAGGAUGGCGAGCUCUUUAAAGGGGUGGAGGGAGGGGUGGUUUUAUGUUGUAGCCCAAGAACCCGAUCUUCCUUUCUGGCCUGAUUGGGGAAUCCCCGACGCCGAGAAGUUCUGUGAGGGCCAGGUGUAUCCAGAUGUUCUGGAAGAGCAUAGGAGGAUGCUGGUCGGGCUCAGCCCCCUUUUCUCGACGAUGAAGGAGAUUGGGGAAGAGGUUUUAGACCUGGCAGAUAUUAGAGGCGUCGAGGGUAGGGAUGUUCCUUUAUUGUUAUUUUUUGAAAGAUACCCUGACCUUGUUGCUCGUUCUAAAAUGUUUGUAAAUAUUUGCAGGUAUGUCUUUUGAUCCUCGUGCUCUCCGGAACUUUGUCAGCACAAGGGGAGGCGCCCCUCCACAGGGGCAGCCCUCAAGGAAGAAAAGCAAGAAGAGGCCUCGAGGGGGUCCUGAGGGUGCAAGGGGGCCUGGCGAAACUUCUCGAGGACAUCCAGAAGUCUCGACCCCUCUGCAACCGAACCUCAGAUCUCCGACUCCUCGGGUCGUCACUCCUCGGCCUCCUUCUGAAGUGGUUGACCUCGAGGAUGAGCCGUCUCUCACUGGGGACUUUGGGACUUGUCACCUCGCUCCUGAGCUUGUAAACAAAUACAAAGAGGAGGUCAAGCUCGAGGAUGGGAUGAAGGUCCUCGAG